CAAUAGCGUAUAUUAAAGUUGUUGCAGUUAAAAAGCUCGUAGUUGGAUUUGUGGCGUACGGUGUGUUCCGGGCACUUGUUGUCUGAGUAACCUGCUGUUGCCAUCCUUGGGUGGAACCUGUGUGGCAUUAGGUUGUCGUGCAGGGGAUGCCCAUCAUUUACUGUGAAAAAAUUGGAGUGUUCAAAGCAGGCUUAUGCCGUUGAAUAUAUUAGCAUGGAAUAAUGAGAUAGGACUUUUUUGCUAUUUUGUUGGUUUGCGCAAAGAGGUAAUGAUUAAUAGGGACAGUUGGGGGUAUUCGUAUUCCAUUGUCAGAGGUGAAAUUCUUGGAUUUUUGGAAGACGAACUACUGCGAAAGCAUUUACCAAGGAUGUUUUCAUUAA
rnacentral:rRNA from 1 species